UGAAGGGCUAUACCGAAAGGCCCGCAAAGUUUCGAACUGAUAAAAUCAAGAAGCCCUACGCCCCUAAACCUAAUCCCCGCAUAGCUUCCAUAUAAUCUUCCCUUUUGAGUUCAUCUUCUCCAGUCGUUGAUGGCAACCGAUCUUCAUUUUUCUAGCGACGAGCUUGCUUUUAAGUGAGUUUCGAAAAUAUCACCUGACUUUAUUAUUAAUGUUUUUUCUUCAAAUUUAUGAAAAUAUUUUGGAAAUUAUCAGUGGAUUUGUUUUUGUUUAAUUUAUUUAUUACGAUUUGAGGGGAAUAAAAAGCUGAUGAGGAGAAGAAAUGGGCAAGAGCUGCAACAACAAAUAAAGCGCACCGUGUAGAUCCAUCUACAUGGGUUGUUGUUUGCUUUGAUGAAUGUGCCAAUAUGCUAAUCUGAGGCUUUUCCUUAUUUAUUUUCAACUAUUAUUCUCCUUCGAAGUUGUUCUUCCCCUAAAUUUAUCAACUUCUUUUAAACUACUCUGAUUUACAUUUUUUUUGUUCGCCUUGCUAUUAUUUAUCAACUUGGCAAUGAUUUUAUUAGAACCUUUUGAAAAACUUCAAAUUUCAAAUCACAUUAAAAUUCAAAUGAUUCGAGUUAUUUGUGAUUUUUGUGUACUGUCGUUAGUCACUUCAGUUUUCAUUUACGGAUUUAAUGGAUAGUUUAUACUAAUUUUAGAGCGGAACAAAAACUUUUAGUGAUUAAAAUAAUAAAUCUAUUCAAAGUGAGUAUCUAUUUUUUAAUUUGAUUUUAGGAUACAUCUUAAAUUCUAAAUCUGAGAUAUUACACCCGUUCAAACAAAUGCCUUUCAAAUUGUUACAGAUGCAACUUUUUUAUUAGAUUUGUAAUUAGACUGUAAAUGCAAGGGUUGUUGUUUAUAAAAUAAAUAAAUUUGAAUAAAAUCCUUUGAAAUGUUUGAUCUGCACUUUUUCACCUUUUUAAACUGAGGAUGUUUACGAGCAGAGAUUUCAUUUCACCAAAAAGAAAAAAAAAAGUCCCCAUUAACCCUUCUAAGUUGGCAGAAUGGUGAGGGAUGAUGAUCAUGUAAGGAGAUUUUAUCCUUUUACAAGGGGUUUACCAUUUCAGCAGAUUAAUAAAAAUUUGAGAGAAAAAUUAGGAAAUAAGUAACUUAAACACAGACAAAAACAAACAUACCAGGUCAAAGCCCCCAUAACAUACGAAGUCCUAAGAAAAUUGGAAGCCAGCUACAAUGGGAAGAACCCCAUUCGGAAGAUUAAACUCGCGGUAGUUAGACGAGCCAUCAACACUAACACUCACCUCUAAUAUUGCCAGAAAACCAAGGAAGAUGCCAAAACAAUCACUUUAUUAAAAAAGAAAAACAGGUUUGUAGCCAUGGAUAAACAUGGGUCGUAAAGGGAAUGACGAGGCGCAAAAUCCGACCUAGUUGCCGACUGCAAAUGUGGCGGUCACAUCAGAGGAUCUCAAUCGUCCCACUCUAUUCCACUCCCCUCACUCAAACAGUCCCAUUUUUCCCAAUCUCCCCAUAUUUGGUUUUCCUCUGUUUUGCUUCUGUGAUCUUCAAACUUAGGACUAGUCGGCAUGCAGGAGCUUGGAUUAGCUUUCCACAUAAGAUGGUUUGAAUUAUUUUAAAUAAGAUUUAUGGACUUCUGAUUUCUGGACUAAGUUUUCGGAUUUGGUUUUGUUUUUGGAUUUUUGAUAUGUUCGUCUGUUUUUGGGUGUUCUUAAACGUAAAACUGCUAAACCAUACAAAUUUGACAAAUUGGAAAUCGAUUUUCAAAACUUAAAAA